AUGACGGCUAGUAGUGUUUUUUGCUCCUGGACACCAUUUUCUAUUCUGAUCCACGUUACUGCAUUGUUAGGCUCUAAUGUACAUGUUGUGUAGGUCUUAAUACCUAUUUGGGAACUGCAUUAGCUAAAGCAGGAGGAGAGCAUCUUCCAGCAUCUCCCACUCUUUGGAUGAGCAUCCUACACAUAAGGGAACAGUUUCCAGCACAUUCUUCUCCAUCAGCAGUAUGAUGGGAUGUUAUUGUGCAUUCUGUGAACGUGUGCUAGUAUUGCACAGAGAAGCAGACUUGUGAGCUUUCAGGAUGUCGUGAUUUUCGCAGGUGCCUGGGAGCUCUGGAAUUCGUCUCUACUUUUGUGUUUAGCUAAGAUUGAGACCUUCAAAUUUGAGCAACUAUUUAUUUCCAAAAUAAAAUACUUCUGCAUGGCCUCUUUAGGUCCUAUUCUCACCUCAGGGAAAGAAUUAACUUCCAGAAGAAAGGAAACAGAGUAAGGUGGAAACUGGGAAGGACAAGAGGAGUACUAUCCCCUGUGUGACAAAUUGCAUUCAUGGUAUCAGGAUCAAAGACCAGGUGUCCUCACUAUGCUCCAAAUAGGCUGUUGCUAAAGAUACCCCAUGCUUAUUCAAGUACUUCCCUUUAUGAAUAAAGGGAAGGCUGACUCCACUGAGUACAUCUUUGCAGAACAAUAGUAUAACUGCUAAGAAUUUAGCAUAUCUCUUCUAAAAGGUAAGCUUUGUUUUAGUGUCAAAUUAAACUUGAGGAAACACAGUGUUCAAAAAAAGUUAAUCUCAGAGCUUUGAAAGACAAAUCUAUCUUCACCUACUUGCUAAAAGAAUAUACUGGAGUUCAGAAUUUAAUACUUUAAUAUAUAUAAAAAAAUGAAGCAAACAAUAGAGGAAGAAAAUUUCUAGUGAUGAUCAUUAAUAGCCAAAGCAAUUAUCACUUCCUUUAACAUAUGAUAUAAUAACAUUUUUAGUUGGGGGGGAAGGGGGAGAGAGACGAAAAGAAAAAGCCAUUAAGGAGUGCUUUAUACAAUAAGUACUUUACAAACAAUGAUGGAAAUCAGCUCCUUCUGAUAGGAUCUCAGUGGCUUAGCAGAAGCACCUGUAAGCAUUUACCCAUGGUGAGGAGUUUGCGCUGAAAAAGCAUUGCAGUUGCUGAAGUCUUGGCUAUACUGCACUGCUGGUCUGUCCUCAGCUGUCAGUGAGAUUUCAGAGUGCAGUCUUAAAACUUGUGGUGGAGCUGGAAAAAGAGAUAUUUUUUAUGGACUAGGUGAGAAAUUUAGGAAAAAACCCCACCAAAUUUUAGAAGUGUUCUUAUCAAAUGUGAGUUGUGUUUCCGCCAGAUCUUGCCCCUGAGGCAAUCGUGGCGAGCUGCAAGAAGUCAAAGUGUUUUAUGAGGUGUUACAUGCCUGAAGGUUGAAACUGCAUUUGGUUGUAAGAAUAUUCUGGUAUAGAUUGUAGAAACAGAAUUCUUUAGAAAUAUUGAUUAUUAAAAAUGAGACAAUUUAGAAAUCUAGAAAAUGUGAUGGCCAAUACAGAAGAAACAAAAAAUUGCUAUAAUUUUGACAGAUAUCAUCCAUUUAGAUCUUUUGAUUUGUGUUCUCCAGCAUCUUGGUACUACUUGGUAAUACAAGAAGUCUAUAAAUUUCCAAUGCAAUAUAAAUCUUUCUUUCAGU